AUAAAUUUCACUAUUUUCAUGACUUUUCUUAAACUUUGAUGUAUAAGGGAUAAUUGAAUUUUACAGUUCCAAAAUAAUAUGUACUGAUAAAAAAUAUAUUUAAUAAAAUCCUUAAUAGUAAGAACAAUGUUAUGUUAAAGAACAAAAAUGAAUACAGCUGAUAAAAAUAUGUAUUAUCCCUCAAGUCCUAAAUCUGUUAAUAGUUUAAGAG